rnacentral:rRNA from 1 species
GACGAACGCUGGCGGCGUGCUUAACACAUGCAAGUCGAACGGAAAGGCCCUGCUUUUGUGGGGUGCUCGAGUGGCGAACGGGUGAGUAACACGUGAGUAACCUGCCCUUGACUUUGGGAUAACUUCAGGAAACUGGGGCUAAUACCGGAUAGGAGCUCCUGCUGCAUGGUGGGGGUUGGAAAGUUUCGGCGGUUGGGGAUGGACUCGCGGCUUAUCAGCUUGUUGGUGGGGUAGUGGCUUACCAAGGCUUUGACGGGUAGCCGGCCUGAGAGGGUGACCGGCCGGAUUGGGAAUGAGAUAAGGGCGGGACGCCUCCGGGAGGCAGCAGGGGGGAAGAGUGUACAAGGGGCGGAGGCCUGAUGCAGCAACGCCGCGUGAGGAAUGGGGGACGACGGGUUUUGAAAAGCAUUCGCCGGUGACGAAGCGGGAGGGACGGUAAUGGGUAAAUAAGCACCGACUAGCUACGUG